UAUUAAUAACCUGUGGAUUAGAAAUUUUAAUUUAUCAAAACAAAACAAUAUUUUUAUUUUUCAGGUUAAAGAGAAUAUUUAAAAAUUGAGCAAAGUUUUACUAAUUUUUAGUGGUGUUAUGAGCAAAGUUUACUUCGUUUGUGUUAUUGUUACUCAAAACUAUAAAAACUAAAUUGAUUACUAUGAACAGACCAUUACGAUGAACCACUGAUAUUGACACAGAGACAUGGAAGAUGAGUACUUUGACAACAAGACUGACUAGCUGAGCCAGCUUUAAGAAUUAUGUGGUGUGUGGUGUGUGUGUGUAAUCCCAGGAGCUCUCUAUGUCAGCCAUCCAUCUAUAUUCUUACUCAUUUUUGUUAAUUAUAAAAUAAAUUUGAUUAUUUAGUAUGUAACUUCAUUGUACCUAUCCUGUGAUUGACUGAAGCUGUUAGAAAGGUUGCAUCUGUAAUAAUUUACUUACGGUAAAAAAUAAAUAUGAUUUAACAUUUAAGUAUGGCCAAUAUGUUGUAAAGUACAGUGGGCAUGGCUGAACCCAUGAUUCCUGUGUCGAGUCGACCCCUUUUUGGUGUAGCUAGUUAGGCUUCAGCAGAUUUAUAUUCUAAUUUGGUAAUACUCUUUUUUUUUCUGAUUUAAGAAAAUAUACUAUUCAUCAAAACAGUGUCUGCAAGUACUGUACAGGCCGACUGUUUAGAUGAGAAGUAUAUAUUUGAUUAUUUUUUAAGCUUUGUGGUUUCAGGGUUUAAAAAAUGUCUAACUGAAAGUCUAUGUCUACUGUAUUUAUUAUUAUUAUAAUAAAUAAACUUGAAAAGC